rnacentral:rRNA from 1 species
AGUAGUUUGAUCGUGGCUCAGGACGAACGCUGGCGGCGUGCUUAACACAUGCAAGUCGAACGGAACCUUCGGGUUUAGUGGCGAACGGGUGAGUAAAGCGCAGGUAAUCUGCCGCAAAGUCGGGGACAACGUUCCGAAAGGGACGCUAAUACCGGAUGUUGUGCGGAGUCCGCAUGGAUUCUGUACUAAAGAUUUAUCGCUUUGCGAGGAGCCUGCGUCCGAUUAGCUAGUUGGUGUAGUAAAGGUGCACCAAGGCGACGAUCGGUAGCCGGUCUGAGAGGAUGAACGGCCACAAUGGAACUGAGACACGGUCCAUACUCC